UGCAAAUCGGUUAAUAAAUGGGCGUAA
rnacentral:sRNA from 1 species